GGAUAGUGGCGACGGGUGAGUAACACGUGGGCAAUCUGCCCUGCACUCUGGGACAAGCCCUGGAAACGGGGUCUAAUACCGGAUACUGAUCCUCGCAGGCAUCUGCGAGGUUCGAAAGCUCCGGCGGUGCAGGAUGAGCCCGCGGCCUAUCAGCUAGUUGGUGAGGUAACGGCUCACCAAGGCGACGACGGGUAGCCGGCCUGAGAGGGCGACCGGCCACACUGGGACUGAGACACGGCCCAGACUCCUACGGGAGGCAGCAGUGGGGAAUAUUGCACAAUGGGCGAAAGCCUGAUGCAGCGACGCCGCGUGAGGGAUGACGGCCUUCGGGUUGUAAACCUCUUUCAGCAGGGAAGAAGCGAAAGUGACGGUACCUGCAGAAGAAGCGCCGGCUAACUACGUGCCAGCAGCCGCGGUAAUACGUAGGGCGCAAGCGUUGUCCGGAAUUAUUGGGCGUAAAGAGCUCGUAGGCGGCUUGUCACGUCGGUUGUGAAAGCCCGGGGCUUAACCCCGGGUCUGCAGUCGAUACGGGCAGGCUAGAGUUCGGUAGGGGAGAUCGGAAUUCCUGGUGUAGCGGUGAAAUGCGCAGAUAUCAGGAGGAACACCGGUGGCGAAGGCGGAUCUCUGGGCCGAUACUGACGCUGAGGAGCGAAAGCGUGGGGAGCGAACAGGAUUAGAUACCCUGGUAGUCCACGCCGUAAACGGUGGGCACUAGGUGUGGGCAACAUUCCACGUUGUCCGUGCCGCAGCUAACGCAUUAAGUGCCCCGCCUGGGGAGUACGGCCGCAAGGCUAAAACUCAAAGGAAUUGACGGGGCCCGCACAGCGGCGGAGCAUGUGCUUAUCGACGC
rnacentral:rRNA from 1 species